rnacentral:ncRNA from 2 species
AUGUAAAUAGGCGAUGGUGUUCGCCAUGAAAUGUUAAUCAGAAGAUAACUAAUGACACCUACUAAAAU